rnacentral:misc_RNA from 1 species
AUAGAAGAAAGGGGGUAGGUAUGUAAAGUAUAAUUACAGAUCAGUCAUCCAGUAGACAACAGAUUCAAUUUAUAAUAUACAUGUAAUGUGAUGUCUAGUUUGGAGCAUAUCAGCUAUAAGCAAACUAUGGUGGCAUAGAUAUUCUAUUCUCAUUGGAGGCAUUAUUUGCACACCUAGGGUUGAAAUAAUUGAGAAGUUGAGGGACUAAGGUAAUGUGGGGAUAAAAGUGAAGGGAUUUUAGCAAUUUGAUGGUUAACUUUUAAGUGUUAUAAAGAGGAAUGGGAGUUUGGUAUAUAGAUUGUGGGAAUUAUUAAUCACACCUUAAUGUUUUAGGAAGUUUUUUUCCUUCCUUGCUUAGUGUGAUGCCUGUAUAUCUGUCAGUGUGUGUACGCGUGUGAUGCAGUCAAGGAAAACUAGGUUAAGGAAUUAUUUUGAUUUGGUCUUUAGUUGUAAAAUUAUGAUCUUUCGUUCAGAUUUAUUUUUAUAAUUAGGAAGUUUAGGAAUUCUGUUAUCGUUUAGAAAUAUUUGAAGAGUUCUGUUAGGUUUACUAUUUUCCUACUUAGUAACUUAGUAUUGGUAUAGUGUUUUCCUAUUUUGGGAUUC